rnacentral:rRNA from 1 species
CCUAGUGGUGAUAGCGGAGAGGAAACACCCGUUCCCAUCCCGAACACGGAAGUUAAGCCCUCCAGCGCCGAUGGUAGUUGGGGCCAGCGCCCCUGCAAGAGUAGGUCGCUGCUAGGC